AUUGAACGCUGGCGGCAUGCCUUACACAUGCAAGUCGAACGGCAGCACGGGAGCAAUCCUGGUGGCGAGUGGCGAACGGGUGAGUAAUAUAUCGGAACGUGCCCAGUCGUGGGGGAUAACGCAGCGAAAGCUGUGCUAAUACCGCAUACGAUCUACGGAUGAAAGCGGGGGAUCGCAAGACCUCGCGCGAUUGGAGCGGCCGAUAUCUGAUUAGCUAGUUGGUGAGGUAAAGGCUCACCAAGGCGACGAUCUGUAGCUGGUCUGAGAGGACGGCCAGCCCCAGUGGAACUGAGACACGGUCCAGACUCCUACGGGAGGCAGCAGUGGGGAAUUUUGGACAAUGGGCGAAAGCCUGAUCCAGCAAUGCCGCGUGCAGGAUGAAGGCCUUCGGGUUGUAAACUGCUUUUGUACGGAACGAAACGGUGAGCUCUAAUACAGUUUGCUAAUGACGGUACCGUAAGAAUAAGCACCGGCUAGCUACGUGCCAGCAGCCGCCGUAA
rnacentral:rRNA from 1 species